rnacentral:rRNA from 1 species
CCGAUAGAGAACAAGUACCGUGAGGGAAAGUUGAAAAGGACUUUGAAGAGAGAGUUCAAGAGGACGUGAAACCGUUAGAAGCCAAACGGGUGGAACCGCGAAGGUCGAACGAGGGGAUUCAGCCCGUCGGCCGGCAGAGGCGGUGGACGGCUCGCUCGACACGAGCGCGAGGACCGGGCGCGAGGCGUCCCGGCUCCGUCCCCGCCUCCCCCUUGCCGGCGGGCUUAUUUCUCCCUCCAGUAGGUCGCCGCGACCCGUGGCGGGGACCCCGAGGCCGUCCCGGACCGGGAGGCUCCCUGUGUUGGAGCCGACGCCGGGCGCGGUUCUGGCGGCCCCUGCGACGGUCACUGCGGGGAGGGCGCGUGAAGCGCCCUCCCUGCGGCGUGCAAGGGAUCGGUGACCCACCCGACCCGUCUUGAAACACGGACCAAGGAGUCCAACAUGUGCGCGAGUCUAAGGGCACACUAAACCCGGAGGCGAAAUGAAAGUGAGCAACGCUCCGUUGCAGGCCGAUCCCCGGCCGUCCGCGCCGACCGGGCCGGGCGGAGGUCCCGCGCGUCCGCGCGCGGGCUUCCGAAUCCCGGGCCGGGCCUCCGCGGCGGCCCUCGCCGUCUUCGGCGGCGAGCAGAGGGCGCAGGCCGAGGACUUGCCGCUCGGCGGCCCGGGGCGACGGGGGCCUCGCGCUCCCGUUCCCCGGCGUCCGCCGGCAAGUACCUGAGAGCGCAYCCGUUGGGACCCGAAAGAUGGUGAACUAUGCCUGGCCAGGACGAAGCCAGGGGAAACCCUGGUGGAGGUCCGAAGCAGUUCUGACGUGCAAAUCGAUUGGCAGAGCUGGGUAUAGGGGCGAAAGACUAAUCGAACCAUCUAGUAGCUGGUUCCCUCCGAAGUUUCCCUCAGGAUAGCUGGCAUUCGGAGUCUAAAGUGGAUGAGUUUCAUCCGGUAAAGCCAAUGAUUAGAGGCCUUGGGGGUGCAAUGCCCUCAACCUAUUCUCAAACUUUAAAUGGGUGAGAUGUAGAGCUUGCUUGAUCCAGAUACACUCGAAGCUCUAUGAUUGAAUCAGAAUGUCUAGUGGGCCACUUUUGGUAAGCAGAACUGGCGAUGUGGGAUGAACCAAACGCGCGAGUUAAGGGGCCUAAAGGAAUGCUAAUGUUGACACUACGAAAAGGUGUUGGUUGCUAUAGACAGCAGGGCGGUGGCCAUGGAAGUCGGAAUCCGCUAAGGAGUGUGUAACAACUCACCUGCCGAAGCAACUAGCCCUUAAAAUGGUAUGGCGCUCAAGCAUUCUCCCGAUACUCGGCCGCCGGGGCACUACGGGCCCUGAGAAGGGUCUCGAAGCCCCGGCGAGUAGGAGGGUCGCAGCGGUGAGCGCAGAAGGGACCCGGCGCAGGCCGGCCUGGAGCCGCCGCUGGCGCAGAUCUUGGUGGUAGUAGCAAAUAAUCAAGAGAGAACCUCGUUGACUGAUGUGGGGAAGGGUUCCAUGUCAACAUCAGUUGGACAUGGGUGAGUCAGACCUAAGCCCAAGGAUAAACUUCCUGCGUUCCAGGACUCCCCAAGCGACGACUCGUGGAAGGUCGUUGGGCCGCCCUCGCGGUCGCGGGGGCGGCCUUAUAAAACCGCGUUGCCGCUGCACGCGAACAGAGAGAAAAAGCAGAGGAGGGGACGCAGUG